CUCCUCCUCUUCUUCCUCACUCGAACUCAUCGCCUCCUUGGCUUCUUCCGCAUCGACUUCGUCCAGUCCUUCAUCUCACGCGCCUCACCAAAUUCCGCGACUCUGACCCCGCAUUUUGCUCCGAGGAGGACGAGGGUAUCAUCCAGGCCGUUCUGUCUUAAUCUCUCAAAUCAAAGCUUGGAGUUUGAGAGGAAGGAUUCAAUUACGAUGCCGGUCGGAGACGAAGUCCAGCUUCGGAACGCCAUUCUCUGUACACCAGAUCUAAAUUUAUCAAACAACACUCUUACUGGGAGCAUUCCUGCCAACUUUUCCGGUCUUCCACUGCUUCAAAGAUUGUCCAUUGCGAACAAUUCACUGAGUGGCAUUGUUCCAGCAUCCCUUUGGAAUGAUACGACACUCAAUGCAACAGAAAGACUAAUCUUAUAAGAACUGUGAGAAAUGUUUUACU